AUUGAACGCUGGCGGCAUGCCUAACACAUGCAAGUCGAACGGCGCUGCGGACGCGUGAGUGAUGCCUAGGAAUUUGCCUGUUCGUGGUGGAUAACUUCCGGGAACGGACGCUUAUACCGCAUACUUUCAGAGGAGUCUAGGGGGGAUUAGCUAGUUGGUGGGGUAAUGGCCUACCAAGGCGACGAUGCGUAACUGGGCUGAGAGGAUGAUCGGUCAGACUGGAACUGAGACACGGUCCAGACUCCUACGGGAGGCAGCAGUGGGGAAUAUUGGACAAUGGGCGAAAGCCUGAUCCAGCAAUGCCGCGUGUGUGAAGAAGGUCUUCGGAUUGUAAAGCACUUUUAGUAGGGAGGCGUUACCAACAGAAAAAGCACCGGCUAACUUCGUGCCAGCAGCCGCGGUAAUUC
rnacentral:rRNA from 1 species